GAUCGCACCGCAAGGUGAGUGGCGCACGGGUGAGUAACGCGUGGGAACCUGCCCUGGAGUGGGGGAUAACCCGGCGAAAGCCGGGCUAAUACCGCAUACGUCCUGAGGGAGAAAGAUUUAUCGCUCUAGGAGGGGCCCGCGUCGGAUUAGCUAGUUGGUGAGGUAACGGCUCACCAAGGCGACGAUCCGUAGCUGGUCUGAGAGGAUGAUCAGCCACACUGGGACUGAGACACGGCCCAGACUCCUACGGGAGGCAGCAGUGGGGAAUAUUGGACAAUGGGGGAAACCCUGAUCCAGCAAUGCCGCGUGAGUGAUGAAGGCCUUAGGGUUGUAAAGCUCUUUCGGCGGGGACGAUGAUGACGGUACCCGCAGAAGAAGCCCCGGCUAACUUCGUGCCAGCAGCCGCGGUAAUACGAAGGGGGCAAGCGUUGUUCGGAAUUACUGGGCGUAAAGGGCGCGCAGGCGGCCGACGUAGUCAGGCGUGAAAGCCCCGGGCUUAACCUGGGAAUUGCGUUUGAUACUGGUUGGCUGGAGUUCGGGAGAGGAUGGUGGAAUUCCCAGUGUAGAGGUGAAAUUCGUAGAUAUUGGGAAGAACACCGGUGGCGAAGGCGGCCAUCUGGACCGAAACUGACGCUGAGGCGCGAAAGCGUGGGGA
rnacentral:rRNA from 1 species